UCCAAUCUCCAAACAAAAGACUGAAGCGACAAAGAAGUGAAAUUGAACCGGUUCCUGAGUUCUGUCCGAGGUCUGAUUGUCCUCAUCGACCAUCGUCGCUGGUGCCUCGCAUGCUUGCUGUAUCGCUACUCGCUGUCUCCGAGUCUCCGGUCUCGCCCAUCUUCAUUCACUGAUCCACUUCAGCAGCCAACACUCACGGGAAAUCAGGUAUUUGUUCUUUCUUCUCCAGUUCUCCUCUUGUGAUUUCCGAUUUGGGAAUCCGGGAUUAGGAAUUAAGAGUGUAUGUAAGGGUCGUUCUUGACUUCUUUCUUCUCCGGUUCUUCUGUUGCUAUUUAUGAUUUGGGAAUUGGGAUUAGAAAUUUGGAGUGUAUGUAAGGAAUUAGGACUGUUGAAUAUGCUCCUGUGUUUGUUCACUUGUUGACUUUUUGUGAUUUGGGAAUCAAUUCAAUGUUGAUUGUUAGCUUGUAAAUUGUAAUUUGUUACAGAUUUUAUGUUAGGUAUUGUUUUCACUUCUGAUUUCAAUUUUCAGUUUUUAGAUACCGUUAAAUGAGUUAUUCUGUAAUUGCAGAUUUUUGUUAUUUGUCAGGUAAAUGGCACAAAAAACACUAUUUUUACACAGAAAUUCGAUUUUGACACCGUGUUUUUUUGUGUCAAUUUUGACACUGUGUUUUCCAAUUUGUUACAAUUCUGACCACUUGACCGGUUAACCAGGUUGCAUGAUGACGUGUCAGUUUUGAUGACGUGGCAUGCUGAUAUGAUAUGCUGACGUGUCAAAAUUGAAAAUUUUUUUCACAAAAAACACUAAGUUUUCAUUUUUUUCGAUUUUGACACUAAGUUUAAUUUUUUUUCUUUCAACUUUGACACUAUGUUUUUUGUUCCAAAUCGAACAUUAUUUUUUCCAAUUUUGUCCGAUUUUGACAAUUUUCUAUAUGAAACCGUAUAAAUAUGUUUUUUUUUUCAUUUAAAAACCAUAGUUUUGUAUAAAUAUAUUUUUUUUACACUCAAACCAUAUUUUUAUGUAUAAAUAUGUAGUAGUUAUAUAAAAAUUGUAUUUUAUAUUAAAUAUACAACUUUAAAAUGUGUUUGGAGGUGUGGAGGCGUGUAGUUGAUCAAAACUCGGAUAUCAAGUUUGCAAUCCAUCAAAUUUUUACAUCUUAUUAGAAGCUUAUGGUUAGUUUGAUUCUCAUGAUAUAACUAAUGUUUUGAAUGUAAGAAAAAAAACACCUUGUAUUUAAAUAAAAAUAUGGUUUUUAAACGAAAAAAAUAUGUUUAUACGGUUUAAAAUGUAAUAAAAAAAAUAUUUAUACGGUUUCAAAUGUAAAAUAGAAAAUAGACAAACUUGAACAAAAUUUGAUAAAUGAUGUUCGAUUGGAACAAAAAAAAUAUAAUGUCAAAAUUGAAAUAAAAAAUUAAACUUAGUGUUAAAAUCGAAAAAAAGUGAAAAAUUUGUGUUUUUUGUGGAAAAAAAAUCAAUUUUGAUACGUCAGCACAUCAUAUCAGCAUGUCACGUCAUCAAAACUGACACGUCAUCAUGAACGUGGUUAACCGGUCAAGUGGUUAGAAUUGUAACAAAUUAGAAAACACAGUGUCAAAAUUGUCACAAAAAAAAACACGGUGUCAAAAUCGAAUUUCUGUGUAAAAAGAGUGUUUUUUUGUGCCAUUUACCCUAUUUGUUAUUGUUUUUACACAUUGUUGAUCAAUUGUUCCUUAUUUUUUUAUAGACACAAUCAUGGUAAAGAUGAAAACCUUAGAGUAUUUUUACCAAUGAAAACCCUUAAAGGACCAAAUUGUACACACGAUUGUCG
rnacentral:lncRNA from 1 species